GGCUCGGUAGCUUAGUUGGUAAAGUACUCGUCUAGCAUACAAGAUGCAUGGGUUCAAAUCUUACCUAAGCAC
rnacentral:tRNA from 1 species